UGUUGCCAUGCUGUCUCGACAACAGCUGGCACAGGCGCGUGGGAACACGAGAAGACAGCGGUGUCUUGAGGCAAAGCGACGGAGAAAUUAUAAACACUACCACUUCAUGAGCUCCAGCACUCACUAGUGAAGGUUCAUUCAAGAGUGCAUCAACCUCAGUCAGUCACGGAUGCUGUCGGUAGAAGUAAGCUGUUGCCAGGACACUAGACGAGGAGAUGAGCCAUCACAAAACUAGCUUGACGCACACACAGAUUCCGAAAUGGGACACAGUUACACAGCCUGUGCAAGCCGCCUUUCGCUGCAGCACCGUCAGAAAGGAGCGUCAGCAGCAGGGAUAGCCUUACAUGAGGAGCCUUUCUGGCACAUCAACUCCACUCCGAGAGGCAAGAUGAGGAGAGGGUGGCGACAAGAAAAUGACAAAUCUAGGCCCAAAAUACUGAUCUACUUCACUGAAAACCUCGUGUGCCAUUGUAAAUAGUUUC